UCCGAAUUGGUCUAUCGGCUAGGAUUGCCCGCUUUCACCGGGCCGGGCCGGGUUCGACUCCCGGAUUCGGAA
rnacentral:tRNA from 1 species